rnacentral:rRNA from 1 species
CCUUGGAAAUUGUUGAAAGGGAAACGCUUGAAGUCAGUCUUGUCUCUUGGGACUCAGCCUUGCCUUUGUGGCUCGGUGCACUUCCCAUUUGAUAGGCCAGCAUUGAUUUUGGCCAUUGGAAAAGGGUCUUGGGAAUGUGGCACUCUCUGGGUGUGUUUAAAGCCUUUGACUUCCACAAUGGCUGGGAUUGAGUGUAACGGCACGCCCUUGUGGUGGUGCUUGUGCUGGCGUAAUGGCUUUAAACGACCCGUCUUGAAACACGGACCAAGGAGUCUAGCAUGCCCGCGAGUGUUUGAGUGAAAACUCAAGUGCGCAGUGAAAGUGAAGGUUGGGAACCCAACUCUGUCGAAAGGAGUGGGGGCACCGACGCCCCGAGCGGAACUUCUGGGAUGCAUCGGAGGUUGAGCGUGUAUGCUGGGACCCGAAAGAUGGUGAACUAUGCCUGAACAGGGUGAAGCCAGAGGAAACUCUGGUGGAGGCUCGUAGCGGUUCUGACGUGCAAAUCGAUCGUUGAAUUUGGGCAUAGGGGCGAAAGACUAAUCGAACCAUCUAGUAGCUGGUUCCUGCCGAAGUUUCCCUCAGGAUAGCAGAAACUCGUUGACAGUUUUAUGUGGUAAAGCGAAUGAUUAGAGGCCUUGGGGUUGAAACAACCUUAACCUAUUCUCAAACUUUAAAUAUGUAAGCUCAGCACGCUUGCUUGGAUUUGAAGCGGCUGCAAAUGAGAGUUUCUAGUGGGCCAUUUUUGGUAAGCAGAACUGGCGAUGCGGGAUGAACCGAACGUGAGGUUAAGGUGCCGGAAUGCACGCUCAUCAGACACCACAAAAGGUGUUAGUUCAUCUAG